AUGGGACUGCAGGCAUGAGCCACCGCACCUGGCCUAUAUACCACAUUUUCUUUAUCCACUCAUCAAUUGAUGGGCGUUAGGCUGGUUCCAUACUUUUGCAAUUGCGAAUUGUGCUGCUAUAAACAUGCGUGUGCAAGUAUCUUUUUCAUAUGAUGACUUCCUUUCCUCUGGAUAGAUACCCAGUAGUGGGAUCAGAAAGGCUUCUCUGAUUUCUGUUCCCAGGCUGGGACAAGUGCCCCCUCCAUGGUGCCUCCUGGACAUCUCUCACUAUUACAAGAAUAAAGCUCCUCUCUGUCUCAGCCCUUCUGUCUUUGAUUAGUCCUUCCAGUGCUAACAGCAUGGACUUUGGAACUAAAACACACAGAAGCCCAGCUUCUGCCACUUCCAAGUAGCUCUGGGUUCUUGGGUCAACACAUACUAGGCCCUCCAAAAACUCCAGUUCCUUGCACUCUUUGCUCCUGGUUUCUUGGAAGGUGCCCUUAAGCCUCAGUUUGCACUGGAACCCUGGUGUCAUCCUCACGUCCUACAUGGCUCAUGUCCUCAUGUUCUGCAGCCUUCUAGGGUGUGGCAGGCACAUUUUCGUUGCUUGACCUGUCUUCCUGUGGGAAAUUAUUCCUCCUCUCCCCAGUCCAGCUCAGUCCCUGUGGUUUGGGUCUUGGCAGAAGACCCAAGACUGGCCAAUCCAAGGUCUAUAUUCCUUUGGCCCCAGUGAUUGGUCCAGGGAUAGCCCUGUGAGUUAAUAAGUUCCUUCAUGUUUAUUAUAUGGACGUUAGAAGAAAGACGGUCUCUCUCUUCCUUCCCUCUCACCAUCUUUUUUUCUUUCUGUCUCAUUAUAAGAUACACAGUAGUGAUGGUUUGGCACUACCAGCAGCCAUCUCGCUACCUGUUUGAGAAUGAAGCUAAACAGAAUCAAAUAAACCUUGAAAGAUGGAAAGAGAGUUCUGACACCCUCCUUGAUCCAGACAUGCCUGAAGUCCCUUUGAACUACUCUUUUAAAGCUAGUCUGGGUUAGAUUUCUGACAUAUGCAACCAAAAGAAUCCUGACCAAUACAUGGGUUCACUUUAAUAUGUAAACAGGACUGGCGUAGUGGCUCCCACCUGUAACUCUAGCUACUCUAGAGGCCAACAUGGGAGGAUCACUUAAGGCCAGGAGUUUGAGACCAGCUUGGGCAACAUAGCGAGACCCAUAUUUCUAAAAAAAAAAAAGCAAACAGGAUGGCUAGAUCUAAGGUGGCCUAAAGAUAAGCCAACAAGUUGAGGAUAGUAGAGUGGCAAGAGCACAGAACUUGGGCCCUUGGGCCGGGCACAGUGGCUCACACGUGUAAUCCUAGCACUUUAGGAGGCUGAGGCAGGCACAUCACCUGAGGUCAGGAGCUCAAAACCAGCCUGGUCAAUAUGGUGAAACCCCAUCUCUACUACAAAUACACAAAUUAGCUGGCCAUGGUGGUGGGGACCUGUAAUCCCAGCUACUGGGGAGGCUGAGGCAGGAGAAUCACUUGAACCUGGGGGAUGGAGGUUUCAGUGAGCCGAGAUCAAGCCACUGCACUCCAUCCUGGGUGACAGAGCAAGAUUCUGUCUCAAAAAAAAAAAAAAAAAAAAAAA
rnacentral:lncRNA from 1 species